rnacentral:rRNA from 1 species
AGGGGCAGCGGGGUAGUGCUUGCACUACUGCCGGCGACCGGCGCACGGGUGAGUAACACGUAUGGAACCUGCCCGCAGCAGGGGGAUAAGCGGAAGAAAUUCCGUCUAAUACCGCGUAACAACGUUGGGAGGCAUCUCCCGAUGUUUAAAGAUUUAUCGGCUGCGGAUGGCCAUGCGGCGCAUUAGCUAGUCGGCGGGGUAACGGCCCACCGAGGCGACGAUGCGUAGGGGUUCUGAGAGGAAGGUCCCCCACACUGGUACUGAGACACGGACCAGACUCCUACGGGAGGCAGCAGUGAGGAAUAUUGGUCAAUGGCCGAGAGGCUGAACCAGCCAAGUCGCGUGAGGGAAGACGGCCCUACGGGUUGUAAACCUCUUUUGUCGGGGAGCAAAGCGAACCACGUGUGGUUCAUUGAGAGUACCCGAAGAAAAAGCAUCGGCUAACUCCGUGCCAGCAGCCGCGGUAAUACGGAGGAUGCGAGCGUUAUCCGGAUUUAUUGGGUUUAAAGGGUGCGCAGGCGGAGGUGCAAGUCAGCGGUCAAAUUGCGGGGCUCAACCCCGUACUGCCGUUGAAACUGCAUCCCUUGAGUGCGCGAGAAGUAUGCGGAAUGCGUGGUGUAGCGGUGAAAUGCAUAGAUAUCACGAAGAACUCCGAUUGCGAAGGCAGCAUACCGGCGCGCAACUGACGCUCAUGCCCGAAAGCGUGGGUAUCCAACAAGGUUNNNUNCCCUNNUNNUCCNCNCNNUNNACGACCUUUAUGGAUUUCGGCCAGAAUGAUGGCUGAGUGGUACAGCGAAAGCGUUAAGUGUUCCACCUGGGGAGUACGCCGGCAACGGUGAAACUCAAAGGAAUUGACGGGGGCCCGCACAAGCGGAGGAACAUGUGGUUUAAUUCGAUGAUACGCGAGGAACCUUACCCGGGCUCAAACGACACAGGAAUACUUUUGAAAGGAGGUAGCCCUACGGGGUCUGUGUCGAGGUGCUGCAUGGUUGUCGUCAGCUCGUGCCGUGAGGUGUCGGCUUAAGUGCCAUAACGAGCGCAACCCCUAUCGCCAGUUACCAUCAAGUAAAGUUGGGGUCUCUGGCGAGACUGCCGGCGCAAGCUGAGAGGAAGGCGGGGAUGACGUCAAAUCAGCACGGCCCUUACGUCCGGGGCGACACACGUGUUACAAUGGCAGGUACAGAGAGAAGCCAGGUGGCGACACCGCGCGGAACUCGAAAGCCUGUCUCAGUUCGGAUCGGAGUCUGCAACCCGACUCCGUGAAGCUGGAUUCGCUAGUAAUCGC